rnacentral:misc_RNA from 1 species
GAUGAAGAACGUAGCGAAAUGCGAUACUUGGUGUGAAUUGCAGAAUCCCGUGAACCAUCGAGUCUUUGAACGCAAGUUGCGCCCGAAGCCAUUAGGCCGAGGGCACGCCUGCCUGGGCGUCACACGUCGUUGCCCCCCCAUCUACUCCUUCGGGAUUGCGGGGGGCGGAUGAUGGCCUCCCGUGCGCCUCGUCGCGCGGUUGGCAUAAAUGCCAAGUCCUCGGCGACACACGCCACGACAAUCGGUGGUUGCGAAACCUCGGUUGCCCGUCGUGUGCGGUCGUCGCGCAUCGAGGGCUCGAAAAAAUUGCCGGGCUCCGGCUCGGCUUUCAACGCGACCCCAGGUCAGGCGGGGUUACCCGCUGAAUUUAAGCAUAUCAGCGGAGGA